rnacentral:rRNA from 2 species
UUAAAUUGAAGAGUUUGAUCAUGGCUCAGAUUGAACGCUGGCGGCAGGCCUAACACAUGCAAGUCGAACGGUAACAGGAAACAGCUUGCUGUUUCGCUGACGAGUGGCGGA